CCUACGGGAGGCAGCAGUGAGGAAUAUUGGUCAAUGGACGAGAGUCUGAACCGGCCAAGUAGCGUGAAGGAUGACUGCCCUAUGGGUUGUAAACUUCUUUUAUAUGGGAAUAAAAUGUUCCACGUGUGGGAUUUUGUAUGUACCAUAUGAAUAAGGAUCGGCUAACUCCGUGACAGCAGCCGCGGUAAUACGGAGGAUACGAGCGUUAUCCGGAUUUAUUGGGUUUAAAGGGAGCGUAGGUGGAUUGUUAAGUCAGUGUUGAAAGUUUGCGGCUCAACCGGAAAAUUGCCGUUGACACUGGCAGUCUUGAGUACAGUAGAGGUGGGCGGAAUUCGUGGUGUAGCGGUGAAAUGCUUAGAUAUCACGAAGAACUCCGAUUGCGAAGGUAGUUCACUGGACUGCAACUGACACUGAGGCUCGAAAGUGUGGGUAUCAAACAGGAUUAGAUACCCUGGUAGUC
rnacentral:rRNA from 1 species